GACGUAGGGCGCGAGCGUUGUCCGGAUUUUAUUUGGGCGUAAAGAGCUCGUAGGCGGCUCGUUGCGUCAAUCGUGAAAACCUACUGCUUAACGGUGGGCUUGCGGUUUGAUACGGGCGGGCUGGAGUUCGGUAGGGGAGACUGGAAUUCCUGGUGUAGCGGUGAAAUGCGCAGAUAUCAGGAGGAACACCGAUGGCGAAGGCAGGUCUCUGGGCAUUAACUGACGCUGAGGAGCGAAAGCAUGGGGAGCGAACAGG
rnacentral:rRNA from 1 species